GAAUCUUAGACAAUGGGGGAGACCCUGAUCUAGCCAUGCCGCGUGAGUGAUGAAGGCCUUAGGGUUGUAAAGCUCUUUCGCUGGGGAAGAUAAUGACGGUACCCAGUAAAGAAGCCCCGGCUAACUCCGUGCCAGCAGCCGCGGUAAUACGGAGGGGGCUAGCGUUAUUCGGAAUUACUGGGCGUAAAGCGCACGUAGGCGGACCAGAAAGUUAGGGGUGAAAUCCCGGGGCUCAACCUCGGAACUGCCUCUAAAACUCCUGGUCUUGAGUUCGAGAGAGGUGAGUGGAAUUCCGAGUGUAGAGGUGAGAUUCGUAGAUAUUCGGAGGAACACCAGUGGCGAAGGCAGCCAUCUGGCCUAAUACUGACACUGAGGUGCGGAAGCUUGGGGAGCAAACAG
rnacentral:rRNA from 1 species